rnacentral:rRNA from 1 species
CAGCGCCACGAGUGGCAAUCGCAAUUAUUGGGCCUAAAGCGUCCGUAGCCGGUUUGGAAAAUCUUUUGUGAAAUCGUUCGGCUUAACCGAACGGCGUGCAGAAGACACUACCAGACUAGGGACCGGGAGGAGUCAGAGGUAUGCAGGGGGGAGCGGUAAAAUGCUAUAAUCCCUUGUGGACCACCUGUGGCGAAGGCGUCUGACCAGAACGGAUCUGACGGUGAGGGACGAAAGCUAGGGGAGCGAACCGGAUUAGAUACCCGUGUAGUCC